CACCCUUGGUACCGGGAUAGCCCGAGGAAACUCGGAUUAAUACCGGAUGGCCCAACAGUCUUUCGGGACGGUUGGAAAAGGUAGCUUCGGCCUCCGACCAAGGACGGGCCCGCGGCGGAUUAGCUUGUUGGUGGGGUAAUGGCCUACCAAGGCGACGAUCCGUAGCUGGUCUGAGAGGACGAUCAGCCACACUGGGACUGAGACACGGCCCAGACUCCUACGGGAGGCAGCAGUGGGGAAUCUUGCGCAAUGGGCGAAAGCCUGACGCAGCGACGCCGCGUGGGGGAAGAAGGCUUUCGGGUUGUAAACCCCUUUCAGGAAGGACGAAGCCACUCAGGUUAAUAGCCGAGAGGGUGACGGUACUUCCAGAAGAAGCCCCGGCUAACUACGUGCCAGCAGCCGCGGUAAUACGUAGGGGGCAAGCGUUGUCCGGAUUUAUUGGGCGUAAAGAGCGUGUAGGCGGUUUGGUAGGUCCGUUGUGAAAACUCGAGGCUCAACCUCGAGACGCCGGCGGAAACCAUCAGGCUAGAGUCCGGAAGAGGAGAGUGGAAUUCCUGGUGUAGCGGUGAAAUGCGCAGAUAUCAGGAAGAACACCCGUGGCUAAGGCGGCUCUCUAGUACGGUACUGACGCUGAGAC
rnacentral:rRNA from 1 species